ACGAACGCUGGCGGCGUGCUCAACACAUGCCAGUCGAACGGGGUCUAGUAGACAGAAGCCUCGGCUAAAGAUUACUAAUGAGAGUGGCGAACGGGUGAGUAACGCGUGAGCAACCUGCCUAUGACAGUGGGAUAGCCUCGGUAAGCCGGGAUUAAUACCGCAUAAAAUCUUAGAAACACAUGUUUCAACGGUCAAAGAUUUAUCGGUCAUAGAUGGGCUCGCGUCUGAUUAGCUAGUUGGUGAGAUAACAGCCCACCAAGGCGACGAUCAGUAGCCGGUCUGAGAGGAUGAACGGCCACAUUGGAACUGAGACACGGUCCAAACUCCUACGGGAGGCAGCAGUGGGGAAUAUUGCACAAUGGGGGAAACCCUGAUGCAGCGACGCCGCGUGAACGAAGAAGGUAUUCGUAUCGUAAAGUUCUGUCCUAUGGGAAGAUAAUGACAGUACCAGAGAAGAAAGCUCCGGCUAAAUACGUG
rnacentral:rRNA from 1 species